UACAGGGGGGGCCAGCGUUAAUCGGAUUUACUGGGCGUAAAGCGUGAGUAGGUGGCUCGCUAAGUCGAUUGUGAAAGCCCUGGGCUCAACCUGGGAAUUGCAGUCGAUACUGGUGAGCUAGAGUUCGGUAGAGGGUGACGGAAUUCCCGGUGUAGCGGUGAAAUGCGUAGAUAUCGGGAGGAACAUCGAUGGCGAAGGCAGCUCGCUGGGACGGUACUGACGCUGAGGCGCGAAAGCGUGGGGAGCAAACAGG
rnacentral:rRNA from 1 species